UUGGGUGGAUAAUACGGAUUACGUUGUUAUUGCUUAAGAAUACGCGUAGUCGAGGAGAGUACCGGCGGCGGGCAGGCAGGCAGGCAGCGCGACCGCCCCCAGCCCACCAGCUGGCUCCUCACCUCCUCUAGUUGCCAAGGACCUGAGCAGAUCCAGACUGCCUCCUCCGGGAGCACUGAUUGAUUUUCCUUCCCAUCUUCCCCUUGUAAGUUAAAAUGCCUGUUGAUUUUAGUGUCUGUCUCCUUGGUUUACCCCUUGCUUUGGGUUUACUGCCCCUACUCCAUGCUACUUUUUGUGUGCUUGAGUUUUGCACUGGGUUAUCUUAGUAGCCCACUGCAACCUCACAGAGUAGGACUGUGGUGCAAGAGCAGAAGCCUGGCAGUGGCUGGCAACCUGAGAAAUGUUGCCAGGAGAGCAGGGAAGUUAGCUGGUGUCUUGGGACUCAGUGAGAUGGUGGAGAAUCUGCUGCAGGGCAGAAAAGACAGACUCACUGUGGCCUGUUAUUGCACUAGUUAGACCAAGUUUUAGGAAAAUGGGCCUAAAAUCAGACUCCUAGAUCUAUCCUUACACAACCAGGAAGGACCACUGGCAUUUUAAGCAGAUACGGGCACGAUGCUGCUCUAGUCUGAAUGCAGGGUUCCUCUUAAAACUGUCAAUUUUCAGAUGGUUGUGACAACCUAAACUGCCCCUAAGAGAUGAGACUGAUUUCAGCCUCAACACAGCACAGACAUUUGCUGCACUGGCAUCUGCAUGCUGCCCGUGUCCAGCAGCACUGACUGAGAGCAGCCUUGUGCUGCUGCCAUCAGCCCAUCCACCUCAGAAGCACCAAGCCACAUCAGGGGGUAGAGAUCUGGCUAGCCCUGCUCUCUCUCUUGUAAUUCCACACCCAUCAGAGAACAGAAUAAAACAUCCUCAGAGAGGCAGUGUAGUGCAGUUCUCAUCAGUUCCUAACCAGCUUUUUCAGCCUGGCAUCAUGGAGAUUGAAUUUCAUUGCCAGGUUAGAAAAUUCAGGUUAGAAAUGCAUUGCUGCGGGGGGCAACUGUGGGCAUUGGGUGGGCUCUGCACGGCAUAGCCGCUGGGCACACACCUUUAGUGGGUAACCUGUUCCUGUGUACUGCACAACCCUGUGUGCCUGCUGAUUCCUGGGGUGUCCAUGCAAGUCCCGAGGCCCUCAGAGCCCAGCCUGGCUGCUGAGAGGUGCUGCUCUUUGGGCACAGCACAUUCUACUGACUCUGGUGAGGUAGAAGUAUGUGCUCUCUUAAAGGGGAUCCCAGCUGAGUAGUCAGAUGGCCUUCAGGAACCUUGGGCUAGAACUUGCAGGGCACAGACUGGAUCCUCUCUGCUCAGACUCUGCCUUGCAGUUACUUGAGUUUGGGCUCUCUUUCACUGAGUUCAUAAAAUACAUGCUUUUUCUUUUAAUUCAUUAAAUGGUUUGGUUCAGUGAUAUACCGUCAGAAUGAGGUUUAUUCUGUCCAGUCAAAUCUUUUCUGAGGAUGAUAAAACAUAUCCAACCUGCCUUUUUAGAGCUGCUUAUUUUACUUCAAAGGGAAGGCACAACCUUUCAUUUCCUGGUGUGAUUUUAUUAAACCUGUGCCUAUUUUAUUUGUCAGGCCACAUAUAAGUUUACUAUCACUUGUGUUUCCAAGUAAAAGAUAUGUAGGUUGGUAAGUAUUCUAUAAGUCUAGCUGCUAUUCCUUGAAACUCAUAAAAGGAUGAUUUUAAACCAUGGAAUCACUAAUUAAAGCUGCUUCUCAAUACACAAAAAUUAAGUUAACAGUAAUUAAUGUAGCCAGCCUGGAACCUUAGGAAACUACUGCCAGCAAGUGUCUUUUGGUGCACUCAAGAGGAUGCAGUUUGAUUGUUGGCACCAACAGACAGGUUGGGAAUUGUAAACAUGGUAAUUAGCAAUAAGUUUCUGGAUCUCAACUUGCCAGACUGGCAGUCUGAUUCUUGGAGUAGUUAUCGCAUGGGAGGAGGGAAAAACAAAGUAAGGGAAUUAGAGCAACCUUGCAUUGCUCUGCCAACAUAUGCCACUGGACCACUGUUUUUCUUGGCAAAGAUCUCUGACAAGGAGUUUAAAAGCAGCAUUGCAGCCCUACUGCAAACUGUGAACCUCACUGCAGGCAUCAACCAAGCAACUGUCUCUGGCUCUUCUGCUCAAACUGUGAGUGCUGCUCCAUGGUAAGGAAUUGUAGGGUCUGAUAUUCUUCCACUCCACCUCUAUGGUGGGGCACAGUGUUGAUAAGGUUAUUAACAAUAAUGGGAUUAAAAGAGUUAAAAUCCAGCUUUUGCAGUAAUCCUGGAGUAUUCUAUUGUUGAGCUAUCAAAGAUUAAGGUUAUAGUAACCUUAUUAAUCCUUGGUGUAGUAUAAAUAAAAAGGAAAUGUCAACCUUAAUUCCACCAUGAAAUUAAAUCUUCACUUCUCUAAAUGAUGAUUCAAACAUAGCUUAUUGCAGCCAGUGUGGUUUAUGAAAAUGCGUAACCCAGGUGAAUUUAAGAAAUCCCAUCUGAGGGACAGAGAGGGAAAAGGGGUGAUAAACCAUGGCAUUUGUUUUGUUUAAAAUGAAAAAAACUAAUAUGCAUCCAGCUUGUAUGUCUGCAGGAACCAUACCUAGAGCAAACAAAGUGUGCAAAUUAUAAGGCAGGGCCGAAAUGCUCAUGGUGUACAUCCCUGUGAUGCAGUGAACCCAGGCCCCGGACCGCAGCAGAACAGCCAUCCGUGUGCCAGACAGCAGCCACAACACUGCUGGUGGUGCCCCCGACCCUCUCCCCUGCUUGCAAGGCACUGUGUGGCCUUGUUAGUGCUGCCCCAGAGCCAGGGACAGGAUGCCCUGACACAAGAGCUUGAACUGACUAUUGAUCCACCAGUGCUUUCACUGCCAGAGACUAUGUGAUGAAACCCAAAAAGAUGUCAGAAAUAAAAUGUUUGCUGAAUGUUCUGGAAACGGUGAGCCAGGAGCUUGUGUGAAGAGCACAGGUUUUCCUUGCUAAGUUGAUUUCCAGGCGAUGGGAGUUGCCUCUUUUGGUAAUGGAUGGUUUCCUCCUCACCUGUGCCAGAUACAACCCCAUUCCCCCUGCUCACAGAGGUUGAAUCUAUAAGUAGGUCUGAAACUGCCCUCUGUGACUUGCUAUCUGAAGAGAGGGAAGGACAGACAGACUGAGCUUUGCUUAGAAGUCAAUGGAAUGUAGUCCAGGUAAAUUCAUGUUUCUUUGUUGGGAGCAGGAGGGGAAUUACAGUAAGGGGGAGUGGGCUGUGCACCCUUUGGUAUGCUUUUUUGACUGGGAGGAAAAAUAAAGUAGUGGUAAAAUGAGGUGAUUCAGAAUGAUUCUGCAUAUUAAGUAUCUCAAAUGCUCACUCCUAGUGUAGCAAAGUGGUAAUUAAGUUUUAAGGAGCUCCCUAUAGCAGGAAGUGAGCUCUUUGGAGAGCAAAGAGUCAUUGCUAGAGAAAAAGAGAUGAUUUUAGUGGGACUCUUCCUGGGGAAAGUGGCUUUGUCACUUCAGCAAAGCUAUCUGCCCCAUAGUAUCUGCAUCUCCUGGGAGUUACUGGUUCUGUGGACUGAUAAAGAGCUAGAGAGCGUGUUGGAGAGUGCCGUUUCGUAUUGUUUACUCCAGUCCUCAUAAACUCUGAUAAAGCUGUGUAACGAAACUCAGGCUCAUAAAAGAGCUCAUUUUAAGACGGUUUUUUUCCCCUUCACUCACUGAAUCGUGCUCUGCUCUGGUGUGCAUUGUUACAGCUCCAGAGCGUGCACCAGUUCAGAUGUGCCCGCUGGGUCCUGGGCUGUCUCCAUCCCCACUACUGCUGCAAUUGCUACCACAAACACAAAUUGGCUCACUCAGGCUCUUCUUGUCUUUCCGCAGUGUACGAAUAGAUAAUGGGCCCAUGGGGUUGUUCAGAAAUAUUGCUGGUUUCCAGUGCUGGCAUAAUGGUCCCUUCUAGGUAGUAUCCCUUUCCUGGACAAUUUCCCAGUAAAAUAGUAAAUGGCAACUGCAGAGCAGUAAAGGCGAUGGCGUAUUUGUUUGACUGACAUUUCAGAGCCUGCAGAGCAAAUGCAAUUAGGAUCUAUAGUGUGCUGCAGCUUUCUUUCUUCACUUCCCUACCUUGGAAGAGCUACUACUAGGAUCGACUUAGGUCUGGUUCCUGCUACCUUAAAGCGGUGAGAGAGGCUCCAGAGAGGGAGGCAGCAUGUGCCCAAGUACCUGUGGAUACCCUUUGCUUUGGGAGCAGUCAGCAUCUCUCAGGACUCAGCUGGGACAGGAGCUGCUGCCGCUCCUCUGCCAGCACUGCAGCCCCAGGCAGGAGUGAUUUUAUUAGUAGAUGUGUGCCUCUCCUGGACUUAGCAUAGUUGAAACCAGGGUGGCUCUUUAGCACUCAGACUUGCACUCCUCAUUGGGGAGAAAUUUCUGUCUGUGCCAGGCAAAGCAACUGAGGAUUUGGGCUGCCCUGGUUUUCACCACGGGCAACUGAUGCUUUCUUUGGAAUUUUGCAGGAUGAACAGUUGAUGCAUUGCAAACACUUUACUACACACUUGACUCAGAAAGAAAUGUGAAAAAAGUGGUGGUAAUCAUUCAGAUUUGUCUGAAGGAGGUAAUUGAAAACAAAUUGUUACAAAAAGCCAAGGUGGAACACAAUUAACAAGGGUUAAUUGAGGUGGAGCACUGUGGGUUGCUCACCUGUAGGAAAAGACUGUUAAAGAAUAGGCAGGGAUCAAAAUUGUUUCUGUCCAGGUGGAGAGAGAGUCUCAGCCAUAUGAUUUGGUUUGUAGGGUUAUUCUGUAUCUCAUAGAUCCUGACAUGAAAAUCUGGGCCUGCAGAGCAAUGCUUUAAUGGCUGGAGAUAACGCAGCUGGUGAAGACAGGGGCAACUGUGUCUUGCUGUGGUGGCAGGGAGGUGGCCAGGCUGUAUGAUCCCUUCUGCCAUGGGCAGAUCAGAGCUGGCCCCUGUAGGAGAGGCACAGGCAGCUGCCGAGUCCCCUCUUGGCAGGGUGGGGGCUGCAGUGUGCGCAGAGCCACCACCCUGCCAGCCUGCUCUAGCUGUGAGCCUUACCUUCCACUUGGAACAUUGCUGCCAUGUGCUCUUUUGUUUGUUAACAAAUUUAAACAUCACAAUCUUUGCUAUUCCUGGUGCUUCUUGGAUGUCCAGACUCAGGCAGACAUUGAUGCCUGUGUAAAUUGGUGAAGCGUUUUGCAGCAGGUCCUCUGGAUGCAGAGACAGGGGAAGCUGUGAUGUGGGGUGGCCUGGACCUGCUGCCCAGGGGUGACAGGAGGGAUCUGCCUGCACUGGGCUGUGGCUCCCCAGGACAAAACCUCUUUGUAUCUCAGAGAAGCUCCUUCCAAACUACUGUAGCUAUUGCAGGGAUUCAGGAGAUGAAAAUAAUGAUGAAAGAGAUGAUCUACUACUGAUUUACUAAAUUACCCUUUUUCUAGAUGUUUUGUUUCAGAGCUCUUGCAGGGUAAAAGCCAAAUUUCUUCAGCUUCCUAUAUCUGGUGACAAAUUCCACACCAGCCUCUUUCAGGGCAGGUCCUUGCUGCAGGCUCUUGCACUUUUGCUUUCUGUUCAGGUAACCAAGAACAGGGGUGUGCUACAACCUGCGCUGCUCUGUCUGCUCCCUGUGUCAAGGCUGCAAGUUGGGGAAAGCCAGCACAGUAUGAAAAAUGGGAACCAAAGUUUCUUAAAGCAGUCUAAAUGAAGGGCAGUCCCCCUGAGUUUGUGAUAUUACAUGAGUGUUGGCUGUAACAGCUCUGAGGGUUGGACCAGCUCGAUUAGAAUUUUGAUUUCAGCAUUUCAAAAAGAACUUUAAAGCCUACAUAUGUAGCACAAGUAUAGGGAUAUGAAUACCCCUAUCUACCCUGAGAUAUGGAAGAGUGAUCACCUGGCUCUCCUUGGAAGAGAGACAGCUAUCAUACUUUGAUAGUUCAACAUACCUUCUAUAGAAAACCAAAACACACUGAUUCAUUUGACUUACUAUUAUUAUAGUCAUCAUUUGGGAAGAUCAGUAUUUGAGCCAUUUAUCUUCUUUUACAACAAAAAAACAAAUGCUGUCCAUGCAGCAGAGCCUGUCUGCAAACAGCAAGGCUGGUGUGAUAGUGUUAGGGACAUGCAACUGCACUCCCCUCCAUGGGAGCCUUGCCUGUGUGAGGGCUGUGGACUGUCGGGCUGUCCCCACAGCAGUAGCAGCUCUGCUGCACAGGGCACAUAAGCCAUGGCUCUUGUUUUUAACAUGUCAGAUCAUGACUUGCUCCUCUGCUCAGUGUCAAGACUGAAAAAUACUGUCAAAAUGAAAAGGCAAGAGCUGACUGAGAAAUCAGUGAGUAUGCUACUGGAUGCUCCCAAUUUAGAUAUCAUGAUAGAUAAAGGAUAUAAAAUAUGUGACUCUCUUUUCAAGGAAAAAAAUUCUCCGUUAAUAUUGUGCAAUUUGAACAUGUUUGUUUGGAGAAUGACAGCUGUGUUUUACAGUCAGUGUGUGUGCCUGUGUGUGCAGGCACACAUGUAUGCAGGUACUGCAGUAGUCCAGCACUGCCUGGAGUUGGAUGCUGUAGUAAGCUGGCAGUAUGAAAUGUAUUAUCAGCUCCCCACAGGGUCAAGCACAGUACCUGUGCAACAGAGUGGAAGUCUAAGUGGUGAUGGGUGAGAAUGUUUUCUCAGAUAAACAUGCAGGUGAUAAAUUUGUAACUUUGCAAUCCCCUUAUUUUCCAUUAUUUCCUUUUAUUUCUGUAAGCUUAAGGGAAAAGGGGAGAAAAUGACUCUCCUACGGAAGGAAAACUUCUUGACAGCAGGUCUGUGCAUACUGCAAAACGUUGCUGCAUACAAAGAGCUGCUGAACACAAGGUGUAUGUGGUGAAUGGAAGAAGGAGGGCCAGGUAGGGUCAGCUGGGGCCAGGACAUCUGGGAGGUCAGGGUGGACGAUUAUUGGAAUGGACAGAUACAACCUAAUCCCUCAGAAAAAUACCAUCUAACCCCAUGCUCAAAGGCCAGUGCCAUGGCCACAUGGGUUUCUCCCAUGCCUCUGCUCACCACCUCAGGGUGCAGUGCUGAGCAUUGGCACUGCUUUGACUUAGUGUGGCUCUGUGGGGAGGCAGAAGGGCAUGGCUCGGGGUGGCCAGUGCUCCAGCCCUCCUGCUCGUUGCUGGGGAGGAAGGUCUCUUCCAAGACCCGUCCUGGGUGGGCAGGUAUGGCACCCAUGAGCAGUGCAGCAGCAGCUGGGCUUUCUGGGAGGUUGUGCAGAGCUCCUGGGGCAGCACAGCUCCUCCCUGCCUGGCUGAAAGGAUGGGGCUCAACAGCAUCAGCAGGGCCCCUUUGCUUUUGACCUUGGAUUUUCUCUCUCAUAUGCAUAAAGCACAGUGUGGUAUAAGAGGGUUUUAAUGGAAGGAAUCUGAGGAAACCAGUAAAUUAUUUUCUAUGGUAAACUUUUAUACUAAUAAUUUUAGAAAUUCAGUGAAUUUUUUGUUCUCCCCUAGAAAUUGAGCAUUACCUUUAGUAUAUGAGAGUAGGAAGUCACUGCAAAUCAUAAGAAAGGAGGGUCUCAGUUAAAGAAACUGCAACUAAGGACCUAUCUCUUUAGGAACUCUCAAUGUUUCUGCCAAUGAAUUUCCAAAUAGCUGUUCUAAAGCUCUGGAAAUCUGAGUUUUUUCCAUACAAUGACUUAAGCCUGAUAUUCACAAAAGCUUUUGUCGCAUUAAAUAAAUCCUUGCAGUUCUCUGGGUUAACUGGCUCCUCAGGGAAAAGCUGGGGACAUCAGAUUGCAAGGUGGAGGGAGAAAGGUAGAGGGAAUUGGUCUGAGGAGCUGAGGAGUCACAAUCCACUAGUACAGCACCCUCCCUGUGCUUCCAGGCAGGAUUCAAGCCUCCAGUAUCUUGGGAUUCCUGCCCAAUUACAUGAAAUGAGUUCUGGAAAAAAACCUGUUUAUUACACCAUGGUCUAGUUUUUAGAUCCAAACAUUGUACAUUGGGUGUGAAACUCCCUAAUGUUUUAGAAAUGAUACUGGAACCUGACGGCUUUGAGCAAAGCACUUUUUAAGGUUAUGUAAAUGCCUAAAAAGUCUAACCCCAAAUCUUAAUUGUGUAGCAGAUUUGAGUCCUGUGAAGUCUAGGCACUGCCAGAUUUUAAAGCUCCGCUGCUACCUUUCAUAAAUAUUCAUAAAUAUAUACAGUUAAGUACCCUAAAAAGAUACUUGGUUUCCUAUAUGAGCAAGAAGAAGGUGUUGCAGGGCUGUCCCAUCUCCACUGGUUGCAAGUGGCAUGUGGUUCUUUCCAGCUCCAGCAAGGGCUGGGAAACUGGUCCCCUUCAAGUCUAGCCAGAACUGCACAUAUCACAGAUGACAUCCCAGGCAGAGGAAUGAAGCUACAUCCAUUUAUGAUGCCCAGUAACAGGGCAAAGAGACUUUUCCUUUUGUGUCUGUGCUCCAGCAUGGCACAGAAACAAUUAUAAGACGUGUUUAUAAAUUCCACCUGGGUGUUGCAGCUCUUGCUGUGAAUCUCAAAAGUGUAUUUGAGAUUUAUUAGUAUUGGGCUGCUUUUGACUCAAAGGAUGCGGUGGACAAAGAGCAGCAGCUUCUGUGCUUUACGGAAGCACAUAAAAAACUGUCAGUACACUUGUAAUUUCAUGCUUCUAAAUGUUGAUAUCGAAAUGCCAUUGUACUUGCAACUAUUCUGUGUGCAUUAAAUCUGAGGUGUAGAAUACCAUCUCAUAUUAAAAGUGUGAUAGCAGUCCUACCUUUUUUUAAGAAUUUUUGUUAGCUCUUACUGCCUUGUCCUUUGUGUGACUUAAGGCAGAAAAUUGAGAGCUUAUUGUAUUUAAAAAUGUUCAGAAAGAUGUGCUUAAUUAAAUAGAUGUCUUUAUUUUCAGUGUUGGAAUAAGUGUGUAAAAACAAGGGGAUUGAACAAUGGCAAAGUCCAUGUGAUAGAGCUCACUAAAUGGUGGUUGUGGUGAAUUUUGCAGAAUUGCCCAUGAAUAACUGGCAAAAUGUUUCCUAUAUCCCACAGUUUCUAGAACUAGCUGACUCAUUACUGCAUUCAAGGAGAUAUACCUUGAGUUGUGAUCUGAUGCCUAUUAAAAAUUGCAAUUGAUUUAUUUUUUGGAGGGAUUGAAUCAGGGUCCUAAAGGACCUGUGACAUUUUUCAAACAAAAUAUGUUGUUUCCUUUUUUUUUUUCUUUUGUUGCUUUUCCCAGCCUAGAUAAGGAAUCAGAACUAAAUUACAACAGUGCUCACUUCUCCUUUCCUGGAAGGAGCAGAUGAGAGGGACAAGACAUUUGAAAAAAGGGAAAAGGUAGAGGAGGAAAAACACAGAAGGGAGUAAUUGGAAACAGCAGAUGAAGGGAAGAAAUAGAAAAAAGCAGAAAGAAAAGAGAAGCCAAGGAAGACAUGAGAACGAAAAGCAAGAGAGAUGAAAAAGUAGAAAAAUGAAAACAAAAGGAAAGAUUGAAUAAACAUGAGUAAGCUCAAUAAUUAAUUCUCAGUCUUAAUCUUUCAGUGUGUUCCUUAGUCAGGAGCUCAGUGUGAUUUGGUAGGUGUGUGUGACUUUUUUGAAGCAAACCCAACCUCCCCCUGCCUCCCCAGUGCCAUCUCCAGGAGUUUUCCUCACGAUUACCUCAGUGGGAGCUCUGCGGUGCCUGACAGCCGCCCCGUGGCUGGCCUGAUGAGCUGCUGCUGGUCGUAGCCUCUGUCUGAUGUUCAUCCACACUCAGCUGACCCGAGGUCUACAAGGAACAUGAGUUAGCACCACUUCCCGGUUAAAUCUCAGCAGGUUUAUUGUUUAUUUCAUCUUUUGUCACGGUUUGGUAAUGUCCUAUCCAGUCGCACACUAGGCUGUAGGUCCUCCUUUUUUUUUUUUUUUUUUUUUCCUUUUUUUAAGAGGAGAGUUAGCUAAUGUAUCUUGUUAUUGUCACAAAGAAAAAUAUCAGUGAUUGUGAUUUACAGGAGCUAAGUGUUUAAAAUAAAAUAUACAUUCAGUGCUUUCACAUAAAGAUUUGCUGAUAACCAGGUGACUGAAGUCAAUACAUCUGUAUCAAAGCCCAGAGAUUAUUUUUGUAAGGUGUUUAUAAACCUUAUCUCUUCUCUCAUUGUACCCUCUAACAGUUACAGAUGGGGAUGAUUAAAACACAUGUUCCAUGCAUUUACUUGCUGAUGCCUUAUAAAAAGCCAGAGCCUAAUAAACUUCAAUAUGGAGUAAAUAGCAUCCUUGUGAGAGAGCAGUUUUGCCCUACUGCUAAUAGUGAAAGCAGAGCUGUUGAUGAGAGUCAGCCUUCAUAAAAAGCCAGGUUAAGAUAAAAUUUGAGUUUGGCUUGGUGUUUCCAACCUGUUGAGAAUGAAUUCUGGAACUGGGCAGGACAAGAGUUAAGAGCACAUCCUGCGUAAAUCUUUACCUCGUGUUUUGGAGAGACCAAUAUGCUUGUCUUCUGGCAAUCAGAAACGUCGUGUGCCCUCGCACAAAGAGCAGAGCUCUGAUAAAUGCACUGAUUCCAAUUUGUGCUUUGCUUUCCUAGUCAUCAAAGCAAUUUUAAAAUCAAUAUGUUAUGAUUAAGAGGAAAGCCAUGCAUUCCUCACCGGGCAGGAAUAUCCCAUCCAGUCUGCGCAGGCAGAGUUAUCGUCCUAGACGCAGCACUUUGUACAAACCAAAGCGUAUAAAGAAUAUUCCAGGAAAACCAUAAAGGGAGAUGACGCAGUAACUGUUUCUGGGAUGUUAAAAAUACAGUUGUGCUUACAAGCUGCUGCAUGAGCCUGACUGCAGUGUCUGGCUCUGGGUGACUCUGUGGAUGGCAGUUUCAUAGAUGUCAGCAAUGCAGGGUGAGUGCCAAGCAGGUCCUGAAAUUUUAACAUGUGAUGAGGCCAGCAGGCAGUUUGGUGCAGUGAUAAUAAUUUAUUUAAUGCAACUAAUAUAUGUAAAAAUGCAUCUGAGACAGCGUUGGGUCUGCCAAGAGCACUUUGUUAGACACCACAAUGAUUGAUCAGGGCUGGAGGUUGUAGGCUUGAGAACAGGACUGUGGGAUCAAGCUACUGGUUUUUAAUGCGUUUGAGCUGUUCUUAAAUAAACCUUCAUUAGUUAGGGUGGCACCACUAAGUCUACUUCCUACUGAGCAGCAGGAAGACAGAAAGAGCAUCUACAACAGUAAUAGUUAACACUAAUUGAUUUAAACUCUGGAGUAACAGGAAGCUUACGGAACCUGGAUGAGGGAUGAAGGAGGUGGGCAGAAAGAGAUGGAAACAGAGAGGAAAAAUGCCCAUCUGGCUGCAGACAGAGGAGGAAUGCGUCUCCUCUGUUUUCUUCUGUCAGCUGAAGCACACCACAGUGCGCACAGAAGCUGUGAAUGCUUGUGGCACACCUCUGAAGCCGUUUUUCACUUUGUAACCUGUUUAUAGUGUCAGGUGAAUGGCCCCUGGGCAAAGUAGGUAUGCUGCCUUUUGCACCCUUCCAAUGUCCCACUGCACCACCGGGACCUACCACAGGGUCCUUCAGGCUGCGGUUUACUGAAUGAUCUCCUAAGGGGCUUGAUUAUGGUCCCUGAUUCCCAGAGGUUUUUCUAGUCUGUCCAAAACAUUUAUGUCGGCAACAUUUCAGACCUAUUUGUCUUUUUUUUUUUUUUUCCCCUGCUGGGUAAAAAGUAGUUUGGCUUUUAUAAUGUGUCUGUAUAUAGAGGUUUAGUAGCUUGCAUUGCUUUUAUAUGUUUAUAAUUAAAGUAACAGCCCCUUAAAAAUUGGAUUAUUGAUCAUGGAAAGACUGUAGAUGUUUUUAAUCUUUAGAAGCAGGACUACAAAUAAAUCAAAUUAUAUGAAGUAUUUCAUUUUAAGGCAUUUUGUUUUAUUAAAAACACUGCACCCAGUGUUUGCAUAAAUGGAAUAAUUCUGUUUCUUCAUAUGAGGGUUCAGAGGAAACCGUAGUAGAAGUUAGUCCUCACUCAGUAAAGCACACUGAUGUCAAUAAGUCAAAAUUAGGCUCUUCUCAAAUUGCAUAAAAACACUGAAAGAUUCAAAAUUAAGGAUUUGGAAGGCUGUAAAAUUCCCAUUUCAGCUGGAGGUGUAAUCUUUUUGCACAGAUGCACAAGAUGCAUUGUCUUCACUGAAAGUUUAGGACGACCGUUGUGUGUGCCUGUACGUGCACCCACACGAAUGCCUCACCCUAGUGAUGAUGAACCACAGCAGGAACACCAUCCCUGUCCCUGUUAUGACCAAGUGCCUGAAUCUGGGAGUUUGUUUUCGUGUUCCAGAUGUUUGCCCUUCCAGAUUUGAUCACAGGAAUUUGAGGCCGGUGGGCUGAGUCUCCUGAAGUGGAGAAGAACUGCAUUUACUCUGGAGUUUGCACCUUCCAUCGUUUCCAGGGACAAAGCAGGAAACUGGUUUUCUCCCUGGAAGAAGUCAACCAAAGAGGCAUUAUGCAUGCAGAGAGGCUGGUGGGACUGCGUGAAUGCAAAUGGUCUUUGUUAUUAACCAGCUCUCUUCAAGCCGACUGAGGAGCUGAAUGGAUCUGUGGAUUAAAUCUCAUCCCUUCAAAAGACAGGAACAAAAUCACCACUGUAAUAUUUUGACAAAACAUUUUUGUUUUCUGGCAAGGGUUUAACUCGUGCAGCUAUGCUGCCCUCUUAGGAUGUCAGAGAAAGAGGUUUUGCUAGUCAAAUGCUGCCUGCCUUACCAGCCUGCCUUACCCCGAUGAUGAAGUACUCCAGCACCAGAAGUCACCUUCUGUGUUCAGCUGAGCUCAACUGGAAUCGUGCUCUCUAGCUGUGCUGUUAAGUGGCUCUGAAGGCAUUACGAGUGCAGAGCUGUGCUGCUGUAUUUCAAGUGAUAACAAAAUCUCUCUGGAUAAAUUGAAGAAGUGCAGCUUUUUGUUGCAGCAAGUUGGGUACGUAUAGGCAGCUCCAUGAUUGUGCUAAGGCAGCAGAUAUAGCCAGUGUUUGGAAGAAAUGGUUCAUGACCUGAUGAUGCUUUCCAGGAGUCAGGAAAAAAAGAUGCUGGAGGCUUCUUGGGUGGUAGUAACACUAGUGGGACAGGCGAGGGAAGCAGAAGGAUCAGACAAUGAGAGAGAGUAAAGAGAAGGUGCAAUGCAAGCAGGAAAACCUUUGCCAUGGUUCAGGCUUACUCUCGCACUCAAGAGCUGUGGAGCAAAAAAGCAGUAGCUGUGAGAAAAGCCCUUUUCUGAAAACCAGCAGAGCGUGCCAGGACAGUGCUGCAACCACUGUCCCAGCAGCCAAAGUAAGGAGCAAAGCCACAAUCUGCAGGGGUCAAAUCCAAGAUCUGCAUUGAGAGUUUGGUCCGAUGGGUCCCUAGAACAGGGGAAGGUCCUCACCCCACAUGGGGGGUGUCACAAGCACUGGGAGAGAGCACUGUUAGAUGCUGGACUGGAUGUUCACCACACAAGCACAUGAAAGCUGAUCCCUAGCAAGCAAAUACUGAUGGGCUUUUACUGAAGUAUUUUGGUCCCUGAGCAAUUAGCCCUGGGAAUAUGUGAGCACGGGUGCCUUGAGCGUGAAGCAUGACCUGUCCAGGGUAGAAGGCCAGGAUGUUCCCCCAGGGACCACACCCUGAGGAAAGGCAGCUCUGAGGCUAAGGGGAGAAGCUGAGCUGGCCUUGCAGAAAUCCUCUGGUGGUUCAGGCUGGCCAAGCUAAGAGCAUCCCUUACCUUGUCUUUGUGGUGACUUUGAUAGAAACACCUGGGACUGGUGUGGGUCAGAGCCAUCUCCUGGCUGACCCCACACAGGGCACUUGCUGCUGCAGGAGGACUGUGCUGAGGGCAUGCAGACCUGGAGCCCACCAGCGGCAGGGCUUGGCUGUCAUACUCCCACCUGGCUGACUCACACUGUGGAGCAGGUGGUCACGGCCACACCGGUGUGCACACACAAAAACCCAGCACGUGGUGCAGAUAUCACCCCUGCCAAGUACACCAGUGGCUCUCACCUUCAGAGGAGACCCCAGCAUGUGGCGAUUGAGCAUCAGGCCCCUGCACUCAGACACCACACACAUGUGCAGGGUAGCGCAGGAUGCCAGGCCCAGAAGCCCCAACUUCAGGACUUCCAAAGGGGCUCAUUGCUCCAGCUGGAGGUUUGCCCCCGUUGUCUUUGUAUCAGGUGAAUCCAGCUCAGCUGCACUGGUGCAAAGGAGCAAAUACAUUUGAAUACCUGCAGUAUAAAGGUGUAAAAAAUAAAGAAUAAAAUGCUGCUAAUGAGCCUCAUUGACAACAGGUAUUAUUUGCAUCACCUGGAGAUUAAAAAACAAAAAAGUGAAAUAAGCUGCAUGCCUUGUAAAGGGUCAUAGUUUCUGUGCUAACACUAUAGUCUGCAGGGUUCUUUCCUGCUGUCCCUUGUGCCCCUGUUCACCUGCUCCAUACAGAGGGCUGUCCUGGGGAGCUAUACUGGGGCCACGGCUGCUCGCUGGAAGGAGGAGAGAGAGGUCAGAGGAGGUAGCAUGGAAGGGAGAGGAAGAGUGUGGACUGGGAGAAGGGAGCAGAUGAUAAACAAGCUCCUCAAGGCAGGGGCUGAUGCUGAUGUGGUGAGCUGCAGUGGCUGACAAGACUUGUUCCAUGUCAAGGGUAGAUCAACUUUCCUUUGACUUGAGAGGGUGUUGGUGUGUGUGUUAGCUAAGUCCAGAAAACAGUCACUGCUGUACUGGGGCUGGUCACAGACAGUUGUGGUAUCCUCUGCUGCCCUGUGAUUUGCAAUUUCUGUUUUAUUAUUUACAUGAAAUCAUGCUCUUGCUGUCUUCAGGGAAUUUCACUUAAGUAAGCUUGCAGCAAAUUUUUCUUCCUUUAAAUCAUAAGCACAAACACCUUUGACCAUAGUUUUUCUGCUGCUGGUGUCUCUGUAUUACUUACUUUGUCUAGGUCCUUUUUUAAGAAGUUAAUAAGCCUGGCACUGCAAGUCCACUGACUCUCGGCAGAAUGUUUCUUUCAUUCCUGAGGUCCCUUUCAUAUUAGCACCGUUCAUUAGCAUCCAUGCAGCUUUUCUCGUUAGUAUUACUGUGCAAUGCACUUUCUUUUGUAGUACCUGAAGCUUGUAAGACAACUCAGUUUGCCUCCCAAUGGGGGAGAAAGUAUCUGUAAUCUGUGUUUCUUGUCUCGAGUCUCUUGAAAGGACUAGAAAUCCCAAAUGCAGUAACUUGUGGGUUUUCUGUCUUAGAGAAUUAGGUUGUCUUUGCAUUACUGAGCAGGCAAACAUUGAGCAGUGCUUGAUCAAUAAGAGGUAUUGCCAGAGGUCUGGUAUAGUCUACCACAGCUGACGGUAAGUGUUGCUAUAGGCUAUGGAACUAGGAAUAUAAAAUGUCAAAUGACAGUAAUAAUUCAUGCAUCCUGGGACAUAUAAAACCAACAGCAUGUCAAUAGCUGUGGCAUGCUCUGCAGAAAAUAUGCAGGAUUUAGAUGUUGCAGGAGUCUGUUUUAUUUUAAGCCACACUUUUCUUGGUGAAAUAUAGACUUUCCCUGUUUGUUGAAAGCAUUUAUUUUCGGUUUCACGUUGCUACUUCUCUAUUAAGAUUCUAAGAGCCAUGCAGCUCAAAAGGGGCCCUGAGAUUCAAAAAGCAAAAUAUAUGUAUUUAUUGAAGAAAAACAUAUAAAAUAUUUAUAAAACAGAGGGUGCAAUACUAUUUGAGAUUCAUGGACCAUUUUAGCAUUCAUAAAAGCAAAUACGGUUCCCAUGUUGGUUUCACCUGGAAUCAGACUUUACUGGAGGGGUUACUCAGGAGGGAUCUGCCUCAAAAUGAAACUUAUUACAAUCACUUUGCAUUUUACAUGGAAAGCAGAAUAAUUUGUGAAAUAAGUAAGAAUUUCUCCAAUAUUCAUCUUCUUAAAAAAAUACUUCAGGAUAACUAAUAUUGCUUGUCUCUUAUGAAAGAUACAGAAUAGGGCGAAUUACUGCAUCUGGGAGGGUACAGCAGGCAUAAGAAGAAAGACUGUGUCAAUCUGAUACAUGUUUUCCCUGUGCCAUGGCUGCUUGGGAACCUAGAAGUGAUGGGUGCUUACUGGCUAAGACUCCCACAAAAAUUCUUCAGAGAAAACCCUAAUGAGAAAAGAGAAAGCAGCCCCAUUCUUAUGCUUUCAGCUGUGUGCUCCCAUGGACCUCAGUUUUGGGUUGCCAGACCUCAAUUUCUAUAAAGCUGCCUGAAAGUAGAAGGGCAAGACAGAGAAGUUGCAUGUCAGUCGUGAUUAUAUGAAUGCAGACCUUCAUGUGCAGGUAAUACUUCUAAAAGAAUGUAAAAUAUUAACUAAACAAAAAUGAGAAAAGGAAAAGCAUCACAAAGAAACUCACCACACAUUAUUGAAAUCUCCCCCUGUGACAGGCUGAGGAUUCAAAUGCAUACAAAUCAUCUGCUCUUCCAUGUGACAGCAAUCCCUCUACUUCAGAGUUGCGCAGUCCUGGCUCUCAGUUGUCUACUUUGGAUGUUUUUUUAGUUAAAUAUUCAAAUAAAAUGUCUUAAAUAGAAUGUCCAUAAUUUGAAGACCAUAGAGUGGUUUUGGUGCAGUGGACUGCACCUACAUAGCACAGGCACUAGUAGAUAUUUUGGCACAUCUUGCUGAAGAUAGCAUGAGGCAGAGGUGAUGAUGAUGAAAAUAAAUGAAAAAAAACCCAACCAAACAAACAAACCACAAUGAAAAGAAAACCCACAAAUUUAAGCCUGCUAACUGUCUGAAACCUAAAAAAAAGGGGAUUUCUUUGUUCUUAUGAGAACAUCUUGGCUCGUUCUGCUCCUUUGGCUUGGUUUGGGGAGGAUGUAUUUUACAGUCCUCCCAUGAUACUUGGCAAAUGUAAAGCUGUCACGUUGGAUCCUGCUACUCUUUGUAUUAAAAGAAUGUCUAUGAUGUUUAUGUUAUGGGGGGAAAGUGCUGUUUCUACUUACUGUAUUUUCAUUGUCUCUUUUCUUAUGACUGUACUGUUUACCAGCAGCCAAGGGGCCACUUUGAUGCUUGCUUUGAUGCCAUAGUUUAUUGUGUUGCACAGUUGAGCCUAUGGUUUUCCUUUCUAAUCAGAGCUGGCGUACUGGGUGAAAAAAAAUAAAAAUAAAGCUUUUUUGUAAUUAUAGUUAUCUCAUAGAGUCUACAUUUUUUAUAGCUGCUGGGGUGCUGGAAAUCAGUGUUUGUAAAUACUGGUAUAUUCUGAUUUGUUUUCAAUCUCAGAGGUGUUUUUUGUCUGUUUCUGUUUCUCACCCCUGGCCACUCAUGCAAGCAGGCUUGCCGACCUGCAUGCUGAGCAGCUAUUGCCUCAGGAAGAUACCAGCCUGCAUGUGUUACCCGCGGUUAUUUGCACGGUACAACCUUCAUCUUGUUCCCUCUUCUCACUCUGAGGGAUUAGCAUCCAAAGAAAACAAAAUUAAUCUUGUAUCAGUUCAUCCAGGAAAGUGAGUAGCCAAAAUAACCAGAACAUUGCUGCUGACAGCAGGGGCAGAGAGCAGCCCUCUGGGGUUGGAGUGUGCUGCGUGCUGCCCACCUCUGCAGCACUGCUCUCAGAGGUACAUGGUUUCACCACGGGUUCUGCUGUAACGAGACUCUCCUGUGCUCACAGAAAGACUCACUUGCUGGCUCGUUCUUUGCCCCAUGCUCCAUGUGGUAGUGCCGGUUGGGACUCGUAUAAUACUCACUUGGAUGUAUCUAUUGCUUUUCUCCAUAUGUCUCGUGACCAUCUGUGGACUGAUGAGGAACCACUCUGUUCCCAUUUUACUGAUGGAAAAGGAGAGAUGUUAGGAGGCUGAGUGAUCUGUACAGGAUGAUACAGCAAAUCAAUGGGAGAAAAAAGGAUCAGGCCAUUCCACAUAGGAGUGCCAUUAACUGCCCCAUGGGCUUCCUGGGGAAGGCAUGCAGGUCCCCAAAGAGGCCGCUUCCAUUGCAGGAUUGUUCCUCCAUUAUUUCUGUCAGAUUAUUGCUAUGCACAGUGGAGAAAUGCAAAAUGUAUUAUUCAUCUCUCCUACUCAUAAAAUCAAUACCUAUCAAAAUACAAAUACAAUUUAAAUCAAAGGGCACUUGUUGAGUGCAGAUCCUACUAAUCAGGUAUGAUUUUCCAACAAUUUCUUAAAUUAUUUAUCCAAGGGAUGGGUAGCAGGCCCUUUAUAUGUCCCAGAGUGAAUAUUAUAAACCUCUUGUCAUGAUACAGCAAAUGUGAAAUGUAGUGCAAUGUGAUUUGUAAGCUUGAUGAACUAAUGUAAUAUCAAUAGACAUCAAUAGUGUAAAAAAAGCCUGUCUCAUCAUAACAUCUAACAAGAUAUGUUAAAAGUCAAUAUAAUCUUGUGAAAUGGACACAUAUCAGUGAAGGUUACAAACUUUGUUGGUAGAAAUCAAUUAAAAAUGUAACACCCACCUGCUAUGGAAAUUACUAAACACCAUCAUCUAGAAGAAGGUUUAUAUCAUGCAUGGACAUCCACCAUAAAAGCAGCUCCCUUCAGGCUGGCUGUAGCUCUGUAAGCGAUUCCACUGUAAUAUAUAGCCUUUUUAUUUCUUAUGCUGGUAUUGCUUAAUUUAGCCUCAUAAUCAACAUGCAGACAGUAUUUAAUUACAUUUUUAAAACCUGCACAGAAAAGAGCCAAUGGUUAUGAACAUUUUUGUGUACAAAUUCGGAAGCAGCUCUCCUGUAAAACAAAAGGUUUCCAACUGUCAGGCAAUAAUGGAGAUCAGUUCUUCAAUUUUUAAUCCUAAGGAUUUUUCUUAUGCAGCUUCUUUGGAUCUUAAUUUUCAUACUAUACUCCCAUCCAUACAGCAGAUCUUAAGUUUCCAUCACACCAGCACACAUCAAGUGAAAAUUCUUGGUCCCAUCAAAUAGAUGUGAUAUCCUGUCACUGAAUCAUUUCAAAUCAGUGAUUCAAAAGAAAAGUAUGAAAUACAAGAUAUGGUUUGUCUCCAAUUUUUAAAAGACAGUGAUAAAAUUUUCACUUUUUAAGCAUUUUGCUUUUCCUCUUGUCAUCUAGUGGUAAUUUAAAGGCAAGUGUAACUUUGAGUCCAAAACGUAAUACUUGAACAUGGAGGGAGGUACUGCGACUUGAAGGACAGCGAUUUGUGAGGGGCUGAAGUAAAACCACGAGAGUAAUUCAGAGCUUAAAUUUUUAACUUGGUGCUUUCCUCUGUAGCCUUAAUGGUGAUCAGGCUCCCAAAAAAGCCAUCAGAAGCCUGAGCAAAAAGCUGUAGCGGUCCAAAGUGCCUGUGUGCUUCAGCUGCUGCAGGCAGCCUGUGAUCAUACUACACCGUCGGUAGUACGCGAGUGCAAUUGUGCAACCAGGGAUGCAAGGCAGAGCUGUAAUUCCGAAUUUCAUGGCAUUUUAAAGCACGAGUGAGAAUUUUAAUGGUAUUUCAACCUUCCUUAUUAGUUGCACAAUAAGCGUUUUUCAGCCAGUGUUCUGCAAAUUCCUUCCUGGUGAUCUGCAAAAGACACGGUUUGAAAGUCAGAGCGUUGGAGGUUGAAUGAUGGGUGUGUGGAAAUAGAUCAGUAUGCCUGAGCUGAUGGGAGGAAUAAGGGAUUCUGAAGAAGCACUGAGUUAAGAUAACACUGGGUAAUAAGGAUAGUAGCAGAAAGUAAAAAAAAGUAUGCCAUGAAUACCUUGGAUAUACAGGAUAAAUUCACCUUUGAUUAUUCAGCUGUCUUGCUCGUAUUUAUGUUGAUUUUAAUUAACAAAAGUUUGUCUGGCAGAGUGCAAUUCCAGAGUGUUUGAGUUAGAAGACAGCUGCAUCAAGUGAAAAUAGACAAUACUACAUUUAAUGUUUUUCAUUUUCUCAUUCCAUUUAAAUGUGAAUGAGUUAUCUGGAAGGAGUAUCAAACAUGCAGAUACUGUUUAGUGGUAUAUUCUUCUUAUCUUCAUUAUUUUCUUCUUCCUAGUGUCUUUCAUAGAUGCUUAAAAAGCUCAUGAUUGUAUACUUGAUUGUAUAUUAGUGACUGCAAAGGUUACCUAAAUUAACACCAUGGACUAAUUUUAUUUUAAAUGGAGGGUAAGACCACAUCUGUUUUAAACAGCUUUGUAAUAUGCCUUUUGUGAGUUCAAAUCAGAUACAGUAAUGGCCACUUAAGUGAGCUCCUACACACAUAACUACUUAUUUGCAGUAGUGCUAAAAAAUGCAUUAUAAAAUCACACUAGCAUUUUGGUGUGCUGAAAUACAUUCCUCCUCUCUUCCCCUUGAAAAUUCAUCCCUGUGUUAUUGUUUUAUGGAUACUAAAGAAAAGCAUGUGUUCUUCCCCAUGGAGGAUGUGUUAUUUACUGUAUAACUGUACUGGCUAGAUAUUUUGCAUUUUGCUUGCAUCCCCCUUCGAAAGAGACAUGACAUUUUUUCGUAGCUGUAACUGACACCGUUCUUCAGCCAUGAAUUUUUAUAAUUAUAUAACAUUAUGAAUACAAUUGAGGUAAUAAAAGCAAAACAAGCAAUCUAGAUAAUAUAUCCAUAUUAUAUUCACAGGGUACAAGUGCAUGGUUUUGCUGUAAAUCACAUUGAUUUAGGAAGAAUAUAGUUUGGAAAUGAUCUUGAAAGACACCAGCAGAGGGGCUAUACCUUAUAUAUGAGCCAACAUCAAAUAGCUCACUAAAUAGGGCAAUAUGCCUUUUUCCACAGAUGUCCUUUCCAAAGAUAAAGGUAUGUACAGCCCGCAGAUAUCUGCAGUGGGCACACUGAAAGUAAACAAAUAGACAUGUGUUUAUUUGACAGUUUUCUAAUGUAAAUGUUUUUGUCUUAAACUGAAGAAGGAUUAAAAGAAAACCUUUGCAGAAUAGCUUCUCCAUCAUGGAGCUAGGGUGGCAGAGGACUGCAGCAGUGCUGCCUGGCCUCUGUUGAGGUGAAAUCUGUUCUACACCAGUCCUGUGAAACUGGAAAAUGCAAUCAUAUUUAUUUUUCAAAGAGGGAGAUAAGGCAUGGACAGAAACCACAAGUCUUCUCUGCAUACAUAAGAGAAUUCUGUAAAAGCUGAGGGGUUGAAGAAAGCUGUGUGCAGGCCUUGGCUAACGCCCUAAACCAUUAAACCAUCCUCACAAAAUCUGUGUUUCCAACUCUGUUGCCACUGAAAUCUGAAAGCAAACAUUAGCCGCCAAGAACAUAAUGCUAAUUAAUUGCCUCAGGAGGACACAAUUCCCAAGAUCUAAUGAAAGAUGGAAUCCAGCUCCCAUAUGUCCCAUUUGAUAGCCCAAGAAAACAUGCCCACAUUUUUCACAGAAACAGUGACAAAUGUCCAACUACUUGUCUCUCAGUUGAGUAUAACUAAUCACCAGGCCCAGAGAUGGAAAUGGCUGCUCAUCAGCACCCAGCCUGAAACACCAGCCCCAGGAUCUGUCACUGAUGAACCAUUUUGAUUCAGUGUUGAAGGCUCUCAGGAGGUGAGAGCUGAGCACCAGAGCACCUCUGUUCUGUCCACAGAACAGCAUUACCUCUGUCUUGCAUGCAGCUGCCAUGUCACAUUGUUAGUUUAUUAAAAACAAAAACCAACAAAACAACAAAAAAAGUUAGCAGGAUGUCAUGCUCUUGACAAAAAACUGGGGAGAAGACAGAGGCAUCAAUAUAGAUGUAGUCACAGAUAUGUUCCAGGGCUGCUUUGCUGUGCUAUAGGCUUGUUCUUGCUUGAACUUGAAAUUCCUGUAGAUUGAAUGUAUAUGCCAGAAUGACAGUGGUGUGUAGCCCCAGGGAAACAUCAAGGGCUGGAGAGCCUCAGCACUCCCUGGAGAGGCAGGCCUGUCUGUCUGUGAAAGCGGAGCCCUGUUUUGAAUGGGGAUGUCCUAUCUCCAUGCGGCUCUAAAGCAUAAGGAAUUGUUCAGCUGGCUUAAAGACAUGAUGUUUCUUUUCAAUAUUUAUUGCUCCAAGGAUCCUUACAUGCACGAGAACAUCGUGCACUCUGUAAAGACCAGCGUCCUGCUGUGGCUGUACCCAUGGCUUGCUGUGUUCAGAGACACGCAGGUGCCAUCUCCACUCAGGGGAAGCUGGUCCUACUUUGCUGGUGUGAGGUAUUUAAUGUCAUUCCCAGGUUCGUUUGAAUAGAGUUGAAUAAUCGGCUUGUUGUACCCAACCCCACCACGUGAACAUCAUUCGCAUGUCACAGCAACGGCCCCAACCCAGCUCCUUUGCUCAGAGGAUGGUAGGGUAAUCAGCAGGACUGUGACAGACCUUGGUGUCUAAUCCUGCUCUUUUGAGCCUCCCCUUAUCCACCCAAACAUCAUUAGUAUUUGUUAGGUGGUCAGUUUUUGGAAACACACAAAAUUCUCACUUUGCUCUUUUUCCUUUUAAAUAUGAUGCAUAUGAAACUGCUAAUAUAAAAAGAGUAUUUCAACACCUUGUUUAGUAAAAAUGGGCACAAGGAAAGCAGGUACAAAUUGCACAGCAAAUUUUCAGCCUAAAUAUUGAAGAAAAUAUGUUUUAUUCUUGUCUAUCCUGAAAUUAAAGAGCAAAAAAAAAAGGGAGGUCAAGGUAAGUAAUUGUAGCACACCAUCUAUUGUGUAUUUCCUCAAGAUCUUUCCAGUCGUACAGAAUAAUGACAUUUCUGAACUUCAAUAACUUCCAUGCAGAAAGGUACAUCAUUUUGACAAGACUCAGUAAAUCAUUUAAAAUCAUAAGGGCUACCAUUAUGCAGACUGUGUGAUAGAGACAGGGUAUUUUUCUGCAAUUGGUCGUCGAUUUCACUCCAGAUUUUAGGUGACAUAAAGCUCAAAAGGAGCUCCUGGUACUACUCUCCCAGAGAUGAGAUCAACACUUAUGAGUACCUGUUUUGAUGACACAGCUCAGAAAAUUGAAGGGAUUAUUAUUAUGGAAGGACCAAGGUGAUAAGUACUGUGUUAUAUAUGAAUAACUGUCAGUCAGACAAGCCAAGCAAGGUCAUAAUCCAUUAUAUUAAUGUCAUAAAUGUUACCAUAAACUGACAUCAGGAUGGUAAACUGGAAUUCUUGCACUUUUUAAAGUGUUGCCGUUCUUAAAUGACACUGUGUCCUGGAAAGAUGAGCAUUAAUUUUUCUCUCAAAAUAAAGGACUUUGAAGGUUUUCAGCAUAACAGAAGUAGUAUUUCAAACAUUCAUAUUUUAUUUUAAAGAAACUGGCUGAAUUGUCUCAGCAGUGUCCAAGAUACCAUGAACAGGUAAGGGAGGAGAAACCAGCAACCCAAUAAUUUCUGACUAUUUACUGUCCCCCAUUGCUUUAUUUGAACUGUGGCUUUCACACCUGCCUCUCUGAGGCAUCUCCAGGCCUCUUGCCCACAUACUGGAGUUCACUCCAGCUAGGGACAUGGGGAGCAGCAAGGUAGAGGUGGGAACUCCUGUCGUUGCUGCUGACCACCCCAAGCCAGGACACUUCACCCUUCUGCAAAUCACUCCCCUGACAUUAAUAUUUUUUCCAAUAUCAAAUAUGAACUGAGGAGAUACACAGGAAUGUAUGACAGUGGAAUGAGAGAGUGUAAAUCAUAUUUUAUAUCUUUUGUGGUGCUGAGCAUUUUCCCACCCACAGAGAGCAGGCAGCUCAAUGGAUGUCACCAGUAUGUGGCUUCUCUGAAUUCAUCCCAGGCUCCUAGAGGAAUAUCACCAGGGACAGAGAAAGCAGCUUACUCUCUAAUGAGACUUUCUUCUUGCCAGCACCACUGGAUGCUCCAUCCAUUGCUGACCAGUUAAGAGCCAGGAAGAAAUUACUGUCACCUCAUGUAAAUCUGUUUACAACAUAGACUCCCAAACGAGAGUAAGGGAGGUGAACUCUGAGCCUAUCCAAAAUCAAAGCCUUGUGUCCACAUUAGCUAGUGCUACAAAUUCUACAAAUAACGGGUAUCACUCUGAAAUGUGGGUGCGUUGGAGGUGAAGCAACUAAUCAGUUAACACUGGGUUUCCAGUUUUUGGGGUAAUGGAAAUGCAAGAGGAAUUUAAGGUGAGUUUUCACAUCCCACACAGAGGCCGAAAGAGAAAAGCAGGGUAAGUACUUCUGGAAAGUGCCAUGCUAUAUUUACUGGCCACAUCAGAUCAGAGCUGUAGUUUUAUGUCAGAUUUAAAAUGCAACAUGGCCAGCAGACUCAUGCUGAUGUAUGGUUGUGAUAACAUUGACGUAGGCAGGAGACAGCCACCAGUGAGUCACCACACUGCUUCCUCCAGAAUCUGGCUGUCUACGGUAGGCAUCCCAUUGCACUGCUGAUCUAAUCUGGCUUGUAAAUCAACCAUCUAGUCUAGCUUGUACAAUCUACAAAUAAGCCAAGUUUUUACUAUGCAGGUAAAUAUUCAGGGUGAAACCAAUAUGGGCUAACUUGAAUGGUAUAAAUAACUGCAAAUCAUUACCUCAAAUGAGAGCAUAAUGCCUGGAACCACAGGCAGGAAAAUACAUUUACAGACUAUCAAAUUAUCUUGGGAUAAUAGUGCAAUGCUUUUCACUGCUGUACUCUGUGUUCUUGCAGCUGAGUGAAUAACAUUACACCUGGAAAAGUCUCCGAAUUUCAAAGGGAAGAGAUUUCAUAAGCAGACUGCUUCCACAGGAGAGACUGCCUUUUCUGUGUUAUUUUAGGGGAACAUUAAAAAAAAAACAAAAGACAAACCAAAGAAGUUAUUUUUUUAUUACUCAGAACUACAUAGAAUAACACCUGAUGAUAAAGAAAACCUUUAGACAGUUUGCCUUUUUUAUACUAUAACCUGCAAAGUGCUUCCUUGUUCAUAUGAGGUUACUUCUCUCUGUGAUUGCAACAAAAUUCUUUUGAUCAAAUGUGUUUUCAGAACUGGCAAAACAAAAUCAAGCUGCUAUAGCAGUUUGCAUGCACAAGUGCUGUUUGAAUAUAAAAAAUUUUGAGCACAUUUUUAGAGAAAAAAAAGUGGACUUUGAAAUUUUGGAUCUAAAGCUAUAUAUGUACAUGCCAUAGUGCUGUUUAUGAUGUCUGUAGAUGUAUAUGACGCCCAAAGUGCUUUUUGGAUGCUCCAAGGUAUAUCAAAGAGCAUUAACUCCAGCACACCUGGGAAUGUUCCCAGAUUCACUUAUGAAUGCAUAUUUCUUAUAUCCUGUAUGUUAACUAUAGUUAACAUAUGGAAAAAAACCUUAAUAUUGCCUUGGUCAUGGAGAAUAAGCCACAGAGUAAGCCUAUUAGGUGAGUUUUAGCAUCUACAUUUUUCUGUUCACAUCUGCUUGCCUGACAUAUGUAAUCUGCCUGGAUGUCACAGUUUACAUCCUAUUUUCACUGGAGGAUAAUGAAACUUGAGCGGUGUCUUCAUCUCCUUCCCGGUCUCUCCAAGGAAUAUUUCUGCUUGUCUGCUCCUCCUCAGCAGCGCUCUCUGGUGUGAUCCUUAGCCAGUCCUUUAUUAAAGGGUAGUGCAUGCAAGGCUUGAAGGAAACCAUACAAUUUAUCAUUGUGCAAAAUGGGUGCAAAACGUGUUACUUCAAAGACAGUAAGAAAAUAAAAAGUGGUGCAGUAAUUUCCUAACCUGAAUUUUCUGUACUUUUCUCUCACAAAGCUCUGUCAUAUCACUAUUUUAGCAGCACUCACUCAGCGGUUGCUUUCUGAAGACUUAUGUUUCUGCUUAAGUCUUACAAAACUGAACUGUAGGCACCUCAGUAAUUUUAGAAUAGCUUAGUCUGAGAGGUAAAUUAAAAUUACAGAAAAUUAGACCAUUUCUAAUGAGAUGGUUAUUACACUGAAUAAUGAUGAUUAUUAGUUCUGCUUAAUAAAACUGUCAUCCAGUGCAAAAUAUAUAUUAAGGGAAAUUACAUUACAUUAUAUUUCUAUCAACUCAGAAAUUCGGUGUGUUGCUUUCCCACAAACCAUGGGCAUAACAGAGUGUUAGACAGGGCUUCCUUUUCCUAAUAGGAUCAAUCAUGGAGCUUUCAGAAGCAGCCCUUUAAAGCCCUGAUCUAAAGCCCAUUAAAUCUAAUGUUAUGAAGAUUUCUGCUGACUUCUGUGCCAUGUAGAUCAAGACUUUGCUGAAAUGAGCAGUGUUCUCUCCUAUUGUCUUUGCUAAAUACCCAGACAAUACUACAGUGGUGACUAUUUGAGAGUAUUAUUAGCCUACUAAAAGCAGAAAAACUUGUAGACACACAUUCGUAGCCCCCUUACCUCACUGAGGUAAGCAUUGCUUGCCGACUCACCUGCUGUUCUGUUCUGAUGUACCUGGCAAAUUAGGAGAUGGACUCUAUAGGAUGAGCUACACUUUUUAUUUCCAAGGUGACAACAAUGAGGAAUAUUAUCUAUUGGCUAAAGUGGAGAUCCUGCUGUAAGAACCUCAACACCGAAGCCCCAGACACUUAGAGGUGAGGCAACUCCUCAGGAGCCUUUUGGCUGUCCAGAGACACAACUGGCCAGGAAAUCUGAGUGCUCAGCAUUUUUUGGUUUAAAAGCAGGCCCAAUAUCAAAUCUUGCCUUCAGCAAGGACUGCUGUCCUGAAGAAUGAGACCCAUCCCUCUGGGAUGGUGGCUCCCUGCCUCUGUACUGCCACAUCUCUAUGGCAGUAAACUGCCAAAGGGGAAGGAAGGAAGGAGGGGGGAAGCCAAGAGUGUGUUUCUGCUACUGCACCUUCUUUGUGUAGGUUUUAAUCUAAAAGGAUGUUUUUUGUGGAAUAAUUUGAUAUAAAGUAAGCCACAUUUUUCUUACAGAAAGGCGUCUUAUUACAGCUACAGUAGCAGUGUAUUUUAUAGAGUCUGAGGGAGAUUAAAUAAGCAGCAAAAACUGCAUGGCUCAAUAUGCAUCUGUGCAAACUGACCCAGUGAAACCACGGCACAGAGGUGAUUGAGUCUACCUGUGGUGCAUGUUGAAAUCUGGAGAAACACAGAUUUUGCCAUAUAAUUUUAUUUUUUGAGAGCAGUAUUGCUCUUACAAAGAGCAGUGUAUUAAAUGAGAGUAACAUGGUUAAUAAGUCAUAGCACAUGUGGUUCUAAGGUUUUCAUCAUGCUUCGAAACAUUUACUAAUCAACAAGAUUUCUCCUCUUAUGAAGCCCGUUUUGUAGAGUUCCAUAAACCAGGUUCAACAGGCACAAUUUCAUUAGCAUUAUAUUGUUGCCAUGGUAAUGUGGUGCCAAUUCAAUUGAUGGGCUUUUCAUCCUGGGCUUAUUAUAGAAUUGCUCUUCCUGUCAAAGACACAUCUAUAUGGAAACAGCAAACAGACCUUAUUAUUGGAGUACUAGCACAAGAUAUCAUCAUAUGCUAAUUUGGAUAGGAAUGUAUCACGUUAUUGGCACCAGACCCAGAAAUCAUCAGAGACAAGAUAGAAGUUACUAAACAUCAUACAUGGCAAAGUCACACUCCAAAAUCAGGAAAGUUACUUGUAUUGUUUGCUGUAGUACCUGAGUUUGUAUUGCAAAAGAACUGCUGUAAUCAUUCUCCGAAAUGCUGUUGGGAGGGCACAAUGCAAAUGGUAAUAUUAGAGGAAACAGAAGCAGUAACAUGCCCAAGAAUAAAAUGUGAGCUGAAGAUAUGUUGGUCCUUCUCACGUUUACAUGUUCUGCAGCGUGUUUUGGGGAAAUUGGUACCACCAUGUUUUCCUGAUCUGUAAAGCCAUGAUAAUAAACCCUCUCCCCCUUGCAGAACACCUGGUGUAUACCAAAUAGUGAGUGAUAGCUGGUACUGCUAAAUAUUGUUAUUAAGUGAAGUAGCAAUGUUUUUAACAGCUCUGGGAAAAUACACUGUACAGAUCUACUAUUUGAGAAAUGCCACUGGGAGAAUCUGGACUCACACAGGGAAACACAGGAGAGUUGGCAGACUGAGCAGGUAACAGUGGAUAUGUACUUAUGGAGGAAAGAUACAUCAUUAAAAAAUCAAGACAGUUUGUAGUUUUUAAAAAUAAAGAAUAUUGUAGGCUACAGGAGAAAUAUCUGCAGCAAUCUGAGCAAGGAGAGCAACAAUACAAUAUAAGGCAACAGCAGGGUGGCUUGUUUAUUGUAUGUUAAAACAUUUUCUUAUGUAUUUUCACUGUUUUUUGAUGAUUGCUUCCUAUUUAAAUAGGAAAAAUCUUUUUCCAUCUUGACACAUAAUGUUCAAUCUGUCAUUUCUUAGCUUAAUCAUGUUGUGUCCUUUGCAGCAGCAAGAGUAAAUUACAGACAGGAUAGUAUUCGGUAUAAUCAAAGAUGUGUUCCAUUUUACAUGAUAAGUUUUGUCUGAUUUACAAAGGCAGUAUCUUCUCCAGCUGAGUGAGGAAAGAGAGACCUUCACUCGCAGAUAAAAAACACUCAGAGAAGAGGCUUCUUCUCCAUUAGGAACCUAUUGUUCAUACAAAGAAAACCCAAACUAUUGUUACCACUAUUAUCUAUUUAUUUAGUUUUACCGUGAUAUAACCACAGGACCCAGCUGAGUCUGGGACCUACUUGUGCUAAGCACAGCAAAACCACAGAGUGCCACAGCCCCUUCUUCAGACGAUUUGUAAACUAAAGAGCCAUAAGAGAGACCAGAGAGGAUAGAAAAAUAGAAGAAAACACAGCUGAAGUGACUGAAGGUCAGAGAAGAAGUGAGUGGCAGAAGAAGCACAAGUCUCUCUACCCUCCGCUGGGUUGCCUGCCCUGUUGGGAGAAGGAGGUAUUUGGAGAUAUCCUCCACCAGAUUCUGAGGAUUCACACUCUAACUUAUGCACACAACCAUGCUUCACCCCCUAAUUUCAAUGGCUGCAUCUGUAUUGCUGAGCAGAGUCAGCCUGAGGCAAAGCUUGAAGUCAGCUGUGAAGCCCACCCAUAUUACCUAUUAAAACACCUCCAGGCUGGCUCCAGGGCAACCCUGUUAAUCCUCUCAGGGACAAAGGCUCAGGGAUACCCUAUGUUUUUUAAGCAUGUUCAAGGGCACCAGGGUCAGGGUACCUGCCAGAGAAAUAUUAAUGGGUUUCAACACCAUAACUGAAGCAAUAGGGAUCAGGGUUUCUUCCUCUGAGGUAGGGACUUUCAAAUCCAAACCUGAACAGAUGGAGGGAGGCGGAGGAAAGAGAGGAGGUUUUGGUCACAGGAGCAAGAAGUCAGUUUGUACCAGAAUUUGCAAGCUUUGAUCAGGAAGCAAUAUGAUGUCUUAGAUUAGGAAAGCAUUGGUUUGGAGUUUUUCUUGGUUUCUCCUUCUCUCUCUCUCCCUCUCAAAAAUCCAUAUAAUGUAAAACCGUUAAACUCUGGGUGAAGAGGCAUUCAUCUUCUGAUCGGUAAAUACUUCCUUUCACUGUGUGGUGCCUGCUGACUUUACUGCUCUUGCAGGCUUUUAAAAUGCUUCCAGGAAAUCUCAUUAGAUUUUAACUUUAAUUUUUUUUUAUUAAGGAAUAUGAAGAGAGUUUAUAAUAAUCUCAAUUUAACUUUUUAAUAAAAACUGCAAAUAAUAGGCUAGCAUAGAUUUGAUAUCAUACGUAUACUGCAUAAAAAUUCUGAUUUGUAGUAAGAUUUGUUAGCCAGGGGUUUGUUGUCAUCAUAAUAAUGAAUAUAAAAGCUGGCAGCUUUAAAAUGGCAAUAUUACAGUAAGCCUACUUUUUUUUAUAAUGGUUUUGUGUUGUGCAUUCAGUAUUGAUGAAGAUUAAGAUUUAGCAUGCAGAAGUAAUAUCCAUUAUGAUGGGACUGUCCACAGUGAAUUGAGUAGGACAUUUGCUUAAUUAAAAGUAUUUAUCUUAGAUGAUUUAAGAAAUAUGUCCUACUACUGAACUGAUGAUGUAAAUUAGUUUCUUAUAAUCAGUUCACCACUGAUGACUCCUGAUACUAAAUAGAAGAAGUAAGGUAAGAGCUAGAGGAAAGUAAAAGAUGCCACUGUCUGAGAAUUUAAUAGAACUUUGGAAAUAAUGAUUAAUUAACACUAUGCCAUGAACAGGAAAUAUACAUUAUUACACCCCUAAUGCAAAGCACCUAAACAGAGCCCUAAAAGGGUGCACUUCUAGCAGAAAGUUUGGAAAUAAAACCAUAAACAAACACCCAGAUUCCCACUCCUACCCACUGGACCUCUGCCUCAGAGGCACUGGCAUGUGGGGAGCAGAGCUUGAGGAUAAGAGGUGGUAGAGAGCCUGGGGUAGGGUGAAGCCCUGUGGCAUGGUGUGGGGUGGCUUGUGGGGUCUCAGUAGGGGCUGUCCCUGGCUUUAGGCAGGAUGCUAGGGAGCAGAACUACUGCCACUGCUGAAUUUGUGCAGAGUGGAGAGCAAGGCCAGAGAAACAGAGAGGGCAGGAACUGGUGUGACCUGCUUCUCUGGGUGAUUUUAAAUCUGUUUAUAAAGACAUACUGGGUAGUUUUAUAAAAGUAUGCUGUAUGGUUUAAUCUGUUGUACAAACAUAGUUCUAAGGGAGAGUCCCAAUGGCUGGAAUGUUUCAACCUAUCUCAAUGUUACAGCUGUACAGCCUAAGUUUUGUGGACUAGCCCAUCUUCCUUCCUCACCAUGCCAAAUGACCCACGGAAAGCUGUAGAUCUUCAGUCUGUGGGGACAAUCUAACAACAGCAACUUCUGGGGUGCUUCUACAAGGUAGGGCCACAUCUAACUCUGUCAAACCGUCCCAUCAGCGCAGGUGUGCUGCUCACAUGAAAAGCUCGUGACUCCCACUGCAGAGACCUACUUGUCUGCUUCUUGGGAAACCUCCUGCCUGCAAAGCUACCCCCUGAGACAACUGGACCUUCCAUCAGCCAGGCCGAGAAAUCACUUGCUGAAUAGUUUUGGCUGAGGUUUUUUGACAAAAUCUUCACAGAUAGAGCCAAGAAGACAGGCAAGAAAUAUUUCUAUUCUUCAUGCCACAACUUGUUUUUUCAUUAUUUCUUCUUGUCUCCUUUUUACACUCCAGGCAUUUUUUCUUUCUACAUAGGCUAAUAGGAAGAAAUGCUGUGCCCUACUUCAGUCAUUUAAUUUAAGUAAUUUUUUUUUUAGUUCUAAUUAUGAGCAUUCAUAUAGCCUGUGACAUUUACUGAUAUAUGUUACUUUUCUGAAACACUACAAAAGUAUCUGGCCUAUUCUCUGCUAAUGCUUAGAUGACACUUUAGGAACAGGAACCACCACCCUGCAAAGGGCUGGGCAUGUGCACAGGGCAGGAGUUGUCAGUGAAGUGUAUCAAAUCUGGUUUUGAUCUGUUCAUGUAAUUUUCCAGGUGAGCCUUGGACUCUGCCUACGGUCUGUGCUCCCAGAUGUCAGCCCAUGAUGGCAGAUGGAGGGACAUCCGGAGCUCCGCAUCCCCCAGGCACUGCACUGGGCAUUUGCAGCUCCCGGAGCUGCCACACGCCACGGGACCCUCAGCUGCCAGAUGCCUGACCCAGCUCGACUGCAGGUGGAGAUGUGCUGGGGCUGGCUUUGCCCUGCUUGCUGCUGCCUACACGCCUUAUUCUUCUGAGUUAUGCCCCAGCCCCUUCCUGUCCCGUUGUGCUGCUGCCUCUGGGCUGUACUGAGUUUUCAAUUAUCACAAUAUACAGUGGAGAUGCCACGUAAAACAGCCAGUGUUGCUGGAGCACACUGAACUCAGUAGAAACACAGUUAAAUAAAAGUAAUACUAUAAUACCAGGAGGCUGAUUGGAACCACAAGAUACCAGUGUCAUAUCCUGUGGCUUUUAUGUUGCUAGAUGUAGAUUUUAGCCAUUAGAGUCUAGCUAUCCGACAGAUAACAACCAGAGGAAAUAGGUCUGGGUAUCUUCAAUUGUGAAUAACUGAUAUAUAGUUGCCAAUAAAUGGAGGACUUGGUAAACUGCUAGACAAAAAAAAAAUAUUUGACAUACCUACAAAUAUAAUCAGGCAUUUAAUAUGGGGUAGCAUCUAACUAUAUGUAACUUAAAGAAACUGCCUGAUUACACACAAUACAUUUGAAAGUGGUACAUCAAGAGAGCUCUGACUUCAGACAAACAAUGUGUAGUGGCACUCUCAGCUCCAAAUUCAGGCAAGGAGAUAAACAGCAAGUGUGGGUCUCGACUUACGUAUUUGUACCAGCAGCAACAACCUCACAGUUGAUAUCAUUAUAUCUAUGUGGGGGUAAAAUGCUAUGACAAAAGAGGAAGAAAUAAGAAAAAAAUACAGUAAUGUCAAGUUUGCUUGUUAACUUUUAGAAAAGCUCAGCAUCUGGAAUUUUAGAAUGUGUUAUGCAGACAAAUGUAAAGAGAGAAACACAUUAAAAGUGUGUUUUUCUCCAAAGCAAAAUGAAAUAAGCAUACAGAGCAAAUUAUUAUAUUUAGUACUCUCAGGGCAAAUUCCAGUUGAGGAUUGUGAAGUAAUUUCAAAAUAUUAAUGAAUUAGCCUCACAGCUAGCUUUCAGGUAGAUAAUAAUGAUAAUUAUUACUACAAAUAAAUUUUAUUUAUUAUCAUUCUUGCUCCAAGAAAUGAACAUUGAUGCAUAGAGAAUUUAUGUCUUUGUCCAAAGUCUGUGUUUUACUACUGUAACCAUCCUUCUCCAGAACUACUGUAAAUUAAGAUUAUCCUUUUCCAAAUACUGUGUGUGAUACUAUUCAGUUUAUAAGCUCUAAAAACCAGCCAACUGAGCUUCCUUAGGAAACAGUGCCAGUGAACAUCUCCAUUUGCAUUUGAAUUCUCAAGCAGCAACAAUCUUGCUUUACAAAAAAAAAAAAAAAAAAAAAAAAAAAGAAAAGAAAAAAAGAAAAAAGGAAUCAUGAAAAUCCAUACAAAAUCUGUCAAGGCCCCAUCUGUGACUGGGUAUCAGAAUAUCACUAAGAAGCUCUGAGAAACAAAGUUCAUUCCAAGUCUAACGCAUAGUGUUAUUCGGUCAAUGAAAUUAAUUGAAGUCGGGGGAAAUGAGGGCACAUACCAUGAAAAACUCUGUUCCUCCACUGAGGGUGGAAGGAAAGCAGCAUCACUGCUGUGUAUGUGGUCUUGGUUUUGGUGCAUGUAGCCCUGUUGAAACACUAAAGGUUUUAUAAGCCAAAAUAAUCAGUGUGCUCAUGACUCCUUUUGAUAGCCAGGUACACCUGCUGCUCCUCUGAGGAGUAUAAGGGAAUGAGUGAUCUCUGGACUUGACAAGAUGAGGACUUAGAUUACAUAUGAUUGUUGCAAAAACCAAGCUUUCAUAGCCAGCUACCUGAAGUAGUAUGGAAACAAAACUCCACCCUGACCUUGAAAAUCCUCUACAAACAUAUUUUUUUCCUUCUGAAUGGGAAUAUAUAAAGGUUAGGGACACUUAUUUGUUGGCUAUUUAUAUAUCUCCUCUUCAGGAUCUGAAUCUUGCAUAUUAAUGAAUUAACUCCAGGAAACAGGAGAACCAAAACAUUAACACCAUUCUAAUGCACCGUAUUAUUUUUAUUUUCCUUUUUUUAACUGUUGGAGUAUGCAAAUGUUCAGUUAACUGGUCCUCAUGUUUUCUCUUUAUUGAAUCGCUUUCACUACAGCAAAUAAAUAUUCAUAAAGAAAUGUGGACAAUAAAUCAUUUCAAAUAGUUCAAAGCCAUUUUCUUUCUAGACUGCAUAUAUUUUCAGCUGUAACUCGCCUUUAAUAUUUCAUUCAAAAGACAGACUUGUAGAAGGACAAUAGAGAUAAUGUGUCAAGUAGUAAUUAAAACAGGGAGUAAUGAUUAAAACCAUUUUGAUCUACAUUGUGCUCUGCCAGAUUCAUAAUCUCUGUUUGUUAGGAUGACUUUCUACUUGCUUUAUACAGAAACUCAAAAUAAACUUCUGUUUGAAGACACUGAAGAAAACAAAGGAUUUUGACCCUGAGCUUGUGGGUCCAGAGCCCUUUCCAGUUCUGGAGUUUAGGUAUAUCUUCUGUACCAUCCUAGCAAGAUAAAUGCAAGCAGGCACUGUUCCUCCUGCUAAUACUGUGACUUCUCUGAGAAGUAAAUCCAGAUUGCAGAGCAGAAGACAAGGAAGGGCCACCCCAAAGUGUACAGGUAAAUGUAACCCAUCUCACAAUUUAAGCUAAGAGCUUCAAAAGAAAUGAAAAUUAAAGGUCUUGUUAGCUUAUACAUUUAGCAAUCUUGGUUCAAAUCCAAGUAAGAAUUGUGUUCCUUGUCUCAUUGUAUAUUUUGGUAUUCAUAAACAUAUUUCACCCAAACUUAUCCUCUUUCCUGAUUUGUUGCUGACUUUAGGCCCUUAUUCAACUUACAUACAGACUUAAAUAAAUUGAUUUAGGAAAGCAUUCCUCUUUGUGUUUAAUCCUGGGUAGACAUUCAACUUUGAAAUCAAGGGGACUUAUGAACAGCCCUGAUCUUGGGGUCUAAAUGGUUCCCAAAUCAGUGCACUGAUAGAAAUAUAUUGGAAAAGAUACUAUCCAUGUCUAAUCAAAGUUUUAGUCUCUAAUUUCACAGGAAAAUACCCAAAGAUAACACAUUAUUCUGCUCAAGAAAUUCAUUUUAUAGCAUUUACUACAAAGCCUUAAUUCACAUUUUCUGUUUAUGCCAAAAAUACCAGAUGAACAGUGUCAGUUCCUUGAUAGCGUAUCUGUAACAUUCUUUAAAUGAAAAAAUAAAAUAUAGGAAAAGUGCUGGCACAAAGGCAUUCAUCAUUACUUAUUGAUACCUUCUCAAUUGCCCACCACAUGGCAAUCCCUUGGAGGACAGGCAGAUGAAAGGCAAGGCAGAGUAGUUCUGAAAUCCCAUGGAUUUGAAGACAACUGCAUAUGGAAUACCACAUGAAACUUCUCCCUAAGUACAGCAUUUAUAAGGGCUGCCUGCCCAGUUUAUAUUUGGAAUUUUGAGUGAUCACAUAUUUUUAUUACACAGUGAGAAGAGCUAAAAACAUGAAUGUUUCUGGUAUCAUAAUGUACAUGUUAUACAAGUGCAAUUAUGGCUAAACCUAUGAGAUUACAAGAAGCAGUUGGUAAAAUAAUUGAUGCUAUGAAUCUAUGAAAUAAAAUAGUGUUCUUACUGUUCUUAAAAA